CUCUCAGCAGGUAGAACUCACCUGACACCAGAGCGGAGAGAAUCAGAACAAAUCACACUGCCUGCGUCGCUCUGUUCUCUGUUUUCAUCAAGUAUCUAACUCCACAGUUAGUUUUGUGGUUCGGUCAUUUUAAGACCAGAUCUUGUUGUAUAGUUUACAGCCUGUCACUCUGUUGCUCCUGCAGUGCUCUCUGUGUGAACUGUGAGGCAGCUAAAAAAAAAGUGAAACGACUCGUCCAUUGACUCGCUGUUGUAAAAAUAAUCACAGUCAUUGUGGUUUGAAAAUCUCAUUAGCUCAAAUCACGACUUCAGUUAAAAUUCGAUAAGUCAUUCAGUCCUAAAAUAUAUAUGUAUUUUUCUCUCUUUGACCUCUUUGGGGCUCUGUAGGAAACUGAUGAAGAGUUGGACCAAAAAAAUCAAUCAAUUCCCUUAGUAAAAAUCUUAAUAAAUAUCACAUACACUGUCACUCCCUCUGUGCUGUCAUCAUUCUUUGCACUGUAGCUCAGUUUGUAUUGUUUUAGCAGAUGCUGAUAAUAACCUGAAAGAGUUUAUGGACAGCACUGUCAUACUGUGUACUUUGCUGUUGAUAUGAUUGCUGGUCAGUAUACUGUUUUCUGGUGCUUUUUAUUCAGAUUCUGGUGUUUCAGCAAACAAAUUUCAUCCUUGUGUUGAGUUGAGGACAGCACUUCACUGAUUUCAGCCUGCAAAAACACAGUGAGGGAUCUUUUAUUAACGCUGGCAUUUUGCUCAUCAGGCUCAUGAAGAUGUGCAGUGGGUCAAAGGUUUAUAAUACAGACCCACAGGAUGUAUUCUAUUCUGUUUAUAUUCUUAUUCUUGCCGGGAUGUUUAAAUGCUGGAUAUAUUGUUUUGUUCUAUUGUGCUUCUCACUAGAUAUUUCAGCCAUUUUAGAAAAAGAACAACUGCAGAGAAGAUACAACAACCUGCACAACAGCCACAGCCACUUACAGGAUGAAGUAAAGCAGCUCCAGAGACAAACUGCAGGGCUGCAAUGUCCUGAAGGAUGGAUGAAAUUUGGAUGCAGCUGUUACAACAAAUUCACUGAGAGAAAAAAAUGGGAGGAGAGCAGAACAGAUUGUCAGAAGAGAGGAGCAGAUCUGGUGAUCAUCAACAGCAAAGAGGAACAGGAGUUUAUCAGAGAGCUGAAUAAUCCUGGAGCCUCCUGGAUUGGCCUGAAGGCUGAGUACAGUCACAAACCAACAGGAUGGGAACCGAAAUGGGAAUGGGUAGAUGGAUCACCGCUGACAAUUAUGUGAGUUAUGUGAGAUC